rnacentral:lncRNA from 1 species
AUUGUCACUGGAAUUCAUGCCAUGCAGACUUCUACAUCAAAGGGAAACAAGGUCAGGAGGGCCGAGGGGUCCACGGCACUCCGCACCCACGGGGCCAGGCUGGCACAACGCCCCAACGCUGCAAUCCUGGGAAGAGUCACACGCGCCCUCCCGGGACCCACGUGACCAUCAAGGGAGUGUGGAGGACACAUCCCUCGGGGGUGACGCCCCUGCAGAUGGAGUUUCCCCAUCUGUGCCACCCUUGCAAGGCCUGGGAAAGGCUGCGGGGCCAGGCGGCACCGGGCAAGCUGAGUGCCAGGUGGUGGUUGCAACACACCGGGCAAAUCUGAAACCAUGGGACGGACGAGCUGCACCCCUGGGAAAGAGAACAGAGGAAGGCCGGUUAUCAACGUCCUCCUGUGCCUCAGUUUCCAGAAACAAGCCAGACUCAGUGCCUCAGGGAGACCCCGUGUGGCCUCCGGAGAGCACGGGACCCGCCCUUUGUGCAGGCAGGCGAGUGGAACCACAGGUGCUUCCCGUCCUGGUCACAAAGUCAGAGUGGCUGGGCCAAGUGUCCUGAGAAGAGUCACCUCCUGGGAUCCCAUCAGCCUGGCCAUAGCAGAACACCCAGACAGGGGCCCAUCCCCGAGGCUCAACUCAACGCAUGCAGCCACUGUAGAAAAGUCUGGAAAGUAGUUCUUCAACCGACUAGACAUGGUGAGCCCAAAACCCAGCCAUGACACUCCUAGGCAUCUGCCCCAGAGGAAUGAAAGCAUCCAUCCCCUGCAAACUCAUCCUUACACAGCAGCGUGACUCAAGACGGCCAAAGGCGGAAACACCCCAAACGUCCAUCAGUGGACAAACGGGCAGAUGCAAUGCACUGUCUGUACCGUGGGAUGUCACUCAGCCAUAUGAAGGAAAGACUCCAGUGUGGAUGAGCCCUGGAACCACGGUGCUGCGUGAUCCCGUAACACAUGGCCAGAACAGACACGGCCCGGAACCUGAGGCCGGGAGGAUGCGUGCAGGUGGCGGGGAGACAGAGGGGCGAUGGCCCAGUUUCUUUUGGGCUGAAAAUGGUCUAAAGUUGACUGUGGUGAUGGCUGUACAACUUUGAAUAUGCUGAAAACUCGAAUUACACACUUCAGUUGGGCGAACUGUACUCCAUGUGAAUUACCUCUCGAUGGUUCUCUCCUGGGCUCAGGCGCUUCUCCCACCUUGGCCUCCUGAGUAGCUGGAACUACCAUUCAUGUGCGGAAAUAAAACAACUCGGUCUCAAAAAAAACUCAACUCAAAACUCAGUCUCAAAAAUAAAAAAAUAAAAAAGUAAAAGAGGCUACCAAUAGGAGAGGAAUUCAGUCAUUCAUGUCAUAAGCACAAUGCGGUUAUUUAAAACAAUUCUGAAUAUGGGGAAACGUGCACCCAGCAGGGCCUGGAAACAGCCAGAGCGUGACAGUGCCGGCGCAGCCAUGAAAAACCCCUCCCUGUGAACACACAUGUGAAAGAAGAUGCAAAGUCACUGUGGCUUCCAGUUUCACAACUGCAAUUCGGCAUCUCUAAUUUGCUUUUUUCCAGAAACUUCUGUUAGCAUGGUUGUUUCCUUAGCUUUUGACCAAAGAAACUUCAAAAACAAGAAAGCGUUAUAAUGCACCCCGUUCCCUUCCAAAGGCCUCCAACUGCAGGGGCUCGUCCCAACAGGCCCUGCUGGGGGUAAAGAGGCCAGGCCCAGGGGAACACUGACCAGGCCCAGGGGACACUGCCCAGACCUGACGCUCGCCACCGGCAGUUUACGUUAGACACGCUUGUCUUUUUUUUUUUUUUUUUGAAACAGAGUUUCCCUCUCGUUGCCCAGGCUGGAGUGCAAUGGCGUGAUCUUAGCUCACCACAACCUCUGCCUCCCAGGUUCAAGCAAUUCUCCUGCCUCAGCCUCCCGAGUAGCUGGGAUUACAGGCAUGUGCCACCACGCCUGGCUAAUUUUGUAUUUUAGUAGAGAUGGGGUUUCUCCAUGUUGGUCAGUCUGGUCUCAAACUCCUGACCUCAGGUGAUCUGGCCACCUCGGCCUCCCAAAGUGCUGGGAUUACAGGUGUGAGCCACUGUGCCUGGCCACGCUUGUCUUUUUAAGUUCCUUUGGGGAAAGAACCCUAACCCCUAGAACAGGGGCCCUGGCCUUCCCUCUCCUUGGCCCCUAACUGUGCCCUAAGCCUGCCCCGGCCGCCCAGCUGAGUGGGACUGAAGGAGGUGUCACCAGGUGCCACCUGCCCGGGGUUGGGGGACACUCGAAUGCAGCAGGGCUUUGGGGAACCGGAUGCAGUCCAGGGUCUGCACAAGGCCAGCCACAGCCUAGAGGUCCUUCCUGGUCCCAGGCCCACUCCAAGCCCUGGCCUCUCGCUGGAUCCCACACGGCCUGGCUGGCUGGGCACCCAUGGAACAGAAGAUGCGGGCAAAACCCAACGCAGCGGCCCCUUGUCACCUAUGCAGGCUGUGGCCACAGCGCUGGCGGCAGACAGGCCCUUGUUCCAUGCAGGUGGAAAGCCCUGGGCUACUGUCAGCUCUCCGUCGCCACAGUGGGGACCCGCCACCUCCCUCACAGGCUCCAGCAGGUGUGAAGGGGAGAGGGGCAGGGAGGACGCUGAGGGUGACCUGGCUGAGGGAAAGAGGUGCGCAGCCUGCGGACCCGCGGGUACCCAGGAUGGCGGGGCGCUCCUGCCUCCAGGAACAAGGCUCUCGCGGAAGCCAGGUCUUCCCACCACACACACGCUCACCCCGGGCAAUCCAGGCCUUACUGGAGCUGAAUUCCUUGCACAACUCUAGACCCCAGAUUGAGGGGGAAGCAAAAGAGCCCCGUCCAGACAGCCCUGUUAACACCUGGGCAGUUCUGUGAAAGGAGAAAUGUCUUGCAAGAUUUUUCCACAAACAUGAAUAUAAACCACCACACUGCUCGGAGGCUGGCGCCUGCCACCUCCCACACGUCCGUAGGACACACCUGAAGCGACACUUCCCCUGGCAAGGGCUGCGCGGCAUUUUAUUUUCUGAACCCCCCACAGCAGGGGCGGCCAGUCCUGCUGCAGGCAGAGUUUCAGUCUUCGGAGUUUGACCUUCUGGCCCAAGGUCAUCACAGCCACAGGCGGAGGCUCUGGGGAAAGGUCCAGUUCCUGGGAUGCUGGCCCCUAAUGAUGGGCCCAUCUCUCCAGUGCCGCCCUUCCCUCCCGCCUGGCACAGGAGUUCUGGAGCCACGGUCCUGAGUCUACAGAACAGCCCGGUCAGCCUCGUCCCGCGGUGCAAGCGAGGCCUGGCCUCCCUCCCUGCCUGUCCUUGGCCCGGCCACAUCACUCCCUGCGUUUCUUCUUCUUCUCCGGCUCCUGGACAUUGGCCGCCUUUGCUCGGGCACUGGUCAGGGGCCGAGGUGUCCUCCUUCUCUGGCGAGCCCCUCUCUGGCCACGGCCCCUGGGCUGAUCUCGGAGCAGGGCCCGCUCAGCUGUGCCUGGCUGCUCACCAGCCUCUGCCCGCGCCUCGGGGUCGGCCCCUACACCCCUCCUCCUGCUCCUCUUCCUCUCCAUGCCCGGGCUCGGGGGCUCCUUCUCACCUUUCCCUGACAAAACAGCAAGACCCCAUGAGCCAGAGAAUGCCAACACGGGCUCUUUCCACUUACUCCAACUCAGGCUGAGGAUGCCAGCACCACAGACCUGGGAGGACAACACGGCCACAACAGCCAGCCAGACGCAUCCCGUGUCCAGUGUGGGCGCCAAGCUCCAUCCACACGGCUCAGGACCUCAGCAAGGGCUGACCUCAGAAGGACCAGCGUGAGGACAGGGUCAUGAGACCCAGGAGCAAAGGCACAGAGGAGUAGGCAGGACUGGGCUCAAGGCAGAAGGGGAGGUGGAAGAACAGGACGCCAGGCAGUGCCAGGUCCUGAACGCCAGGGCCGACAGGGUUCACACAGCCAAGGGCCGGCUACAAAGAGGAGGCCACUGCCUCAUGGGAAAUGAGAUGGACGGCUUCAAUGGCACGGAGCUCUGGGCAAGGGAAGGGGUGAAUCCCUAGGCCCUGGGGCCAGUUUAGCAUGGAGAGAGUAACAGGGAAGGCUUCCCAGUGUGGGGCAAAGCCACCAUGUGCCUCCUCUGCACCCCAUUCUUGCCAUGGGCCCCCUGCCCUGCCCGGCACUGUGCUCAACCCCCUCCACUGCAGGUAGGCAGCUCCAGGCCCUGAGUGGUCUGCCGCGGACCCAGGGUUGCCCCUGGUGAGGGCAUCACAUGCCAACCACACUCGUGUGGCCAGAGGCCCAACACGGAAGGCAGCCCCAGAAAUCAAGGACAGAAGUGGAGGGAAGAAGUGGAGGGAAGAAGGGGAAGGAAGACGUGGAGAGACUCAGGAAUCUCUGGAGGGUGCGGGAGAGGAGCGGACGGGGCUUGGAUCUAAGACGGAGGCACGGAAGGAGGCAGCCCAGCCAGGAGGAUGUCUCCAGACCGGGAGGGAGGGCAGCGCACACAGCUCGGGGGAGCUGCAGACAAGGAAGGUGGGUGGGGGAGGCAGGGAGAGGCCUACAGGAGGGAUGCCGAGGACAGGGCAUUUCCGGGAUGCGUGGAUAGCAGGCACCCAGGAUGGGGGACUCGGCACUCAUGCUUCAGGGGGAGACACUGCAGGUGACCCCCAUCCAGGGGAGAAGCAAGCAGGUGAGGACGCCGGCUCCAUGACUAACACACCCCCUAGUCCUACCUCUCUCCUGCUGCAACCUGAGCAGACGCUUCUGCUUCUUCGUCUUCUUCUGCCGCCUCCCUUCAAGCAGGCGCCUGCAGGCCUUCUCUGGGAUCUCAUCUUCAGGGAAAAUGCCUGAGAACCAGGGCAGAAGUCAGGGGGCUCUCGGGGGCUGGGGACUUAUGGUUUGAGGCUCGCUGCUUCCAGCAGGCCCCAGCCAGCACCACCUCCUGACAAUGUGUGUGAGAAAGCGCCCUGUUCUAAUGCCCAGGAGCAGCGUGUUCAGUACCCGCCACAGCUGAAACGAACCAGCUGAGACCCAAGCCCAUCUGGAAAAGCCAGUUCCUGGAGCAUCCAGGACACAGGUACAGCAUAGAGCGUCCACGACCCCAAAUGCCUGGGACCAGCAGUGCUUUGAAUGUCAGGUUGUUUUGGAACGUCUGCAUCAUAUUCACCAGUUCAACAGCCCUCACCUGAAAACCCCAAACAGAAAACACUGCGACGAGCAUUUCCCUGGAGCUUCCUGUCAGCACUCAGCUUUGGACUUGGUGGCAUUUUGGAUUUGGGGUUUCAGAUUAGAGACGCUCAACCUGUACACCAAAGUCUACAGCCUACAAUGCUCAUGCUGGCGGCCCAAGGCAACUUUCUGCAUCAAAACCUGCCAGAUGCAC